UGGCGGACGGGUGAGUAACGCGUGGGUAACCUGCCUUAUACAGGGGGAUAACAGUUAGAAAUGACUGCUAAUACCGCAUAAGCGCACAGGAUUGCAUGAUCCGGUGUGAAAAACUCCGGUGGUAUGAGAUGGACCCGCGUCUGAUUAGGUAGUUGGUGGGGUAAAGGCCUACCAAGCCGACGAUCAGUAGCCGACCUGAGAGGGUGACCGGCCACAUUGGGACUGAGACACGGCCCAAACUCCUACGGGAGGCAGCAUG
rnacentral:rRNA from 1 species